UAAAUAAACCUAUAAUGAAGCCUUAAAAUCGUGGAAGUGGUUUCAUUUUUGAAAAGGCUGAGAGAAAAUGGAGAAUAUUCAGAACCUUCCCAUCGACAUACAGACCAGCAAGCUUUUGGACUGGCUGGUGGAUCGACGUCACUGCAAUCUGAAAUGGCAGAGUGCUGUACAGUCCAUCAGAGAGAAGAUCAAUGCUGCCAUCCAGGACAUGCCAGAGAACGAGGAGAUCAAGAGGCUUCUCUCCGGCUCCU